rnacentral:rRNA from 1 species
GACGAACGCUGGCGGCGUGCCUAACACAUGCAAGUCGAGCGCUGAAGGUUGGUACUUGUUCCCACUGGGUGAGCAGCGAACGGGUGAGUAACGCGUGGGGAAUCUGCCUUUCAGUGGGGGACAACAUUUGGAAACGAAUGCUAAUACCGCAUAAAAUCUUUAAACACAAGUUUUAAGUGUGAAAGAUGCUAUUGCAUCAGUCAAAGAUCAUCCCGAGUUGUAUUAGCUAGUUGGUGAGGUAAUGGCUCACCAAGGCGAGGAUACAUAGCCGACCUGAGAGGGUGAGCGGCCAGACUGGGAAUAGGACAAGGCCCAAACGCCUGAGAGUGGGAGCAGUAGGAGAUCUUGGGAAAAAGACGAAAGGGGGAACAAGCUACGCCGGGUGAGUGAAGGAGGUUUUCGGGGCGUGAGAGUCUGGUAGUAGUGAAGAUCGUUGGUGAGAGUGAACAGCGCAUGUAGUGACGGUACCGGGACAAAAAGCGACGGCUAACUACGUG